UACGAAGGGGGCUAGCGUUGCUCGGAAUCACUGGGCGUAAAGCGCACGUAGGCGGAUUGUUAAGUCAGGGGUGAAAUCCCGGAGCUCAACUCCGGAACUGCCUUUGAUACUGGGGAUCUUGAGUCCGGAAGAGGUGAGUGGAACUCCGAGUGUAGAGGUGAAAUUCGUAGAUAUUCGGAAGAACACCAGUGGCGAAGGCGGCUCACUGGUCCGGUACUGACGCUGAGGUGCGAAAGCGUGGGGAGCAAACAGGG
rnacentral:rRNA from 1 species